rnacentral:rRNA from 1 species
UAACGGCGAGUGAAGCGGCAACAGCUCAAAUUUGAAAUCUGGCCUCGGCCCGAGUUGUAAUUUGCAGAGGAUGUUUCUGGCGCGGUGCCUUCCGAGUUCCCUGGAACGGGACGCCACAGAGGGUGAGAGCCCCGUAUGGUUGGACACCAAGCCUGUGUGAAACUCCUUCGACGAGUCGAGUAGUUUGGGAAUGCUGCUCAAAAUGGGAGGUAAAUCUCUUCUAAAGCUAAAUACCGGCCAGAGACCGAUAGCGCACAAGUAGAGUGAUCGAAAGAUGAAAAGCACCUUGAAAAGGGGGUUAAACAGUACGUGAAAUUGUUGAAAGGGAAGCGCUUGUGACCAGACUUGCGCCGGGCGGCUCAUCCGGGGUUCUCCCCGGUGCACUCCGCCCGGCUCAGGCCAGCAUCGGUUCUUGUUGGGGGAUAAGAACGGCAGGAAUGUGGCCCUCCCUCGGGAGGGUGUUAUAGCCUGCCGUACGAUACCCUGACGGGGACCGAGGUUCGCGCUCCGCAAGGAUGCUGGCGUAAUGGUCAUCAGCGACCCGUCUUGAAACACGGACCAAGGAGUCGUCCAUUAGAGCGAGCGUUUGGGUGUCAAACCCGCACGCGUAAUGAAAGUGAAAUUAGGUGAGAGCUUCGGCGCAUCAUCGACCGAUCCUGAUGUUCUCGGAUGGAUUUGAGUAAGAGUUUUAACGGACGGACCCGAAAGACAGUGAACUAUGCUUGUAUAGGGUGAAGCCAGAGGAAACUCUGGUGGAGGCUCGCAGCGGUUCUGACGUGCAAAUCGAUCGUCAAAUAUGAGCAUGGGGGCGAAAGACUAAUCGAACUGUCUAGUAGCUGGUUACCGCCGAA